GAUGAACGCUGGCGGCGUGCUUAACACAUGCCAGUCGAACGAUGAAGCCCAGCUUGCUGGGUGGAUUAGUGGCGAACGGGUGAGUAACACGUGAGUAACCUGCCCUUAACUCUGGGAUAAGCCUGGGAAACUGGGUCUAAUACCGGAUAGGAGCGUCCACCGCAUGGUGGGUGUUGGAAAGAUUUAUCGGUUUUGGAUGGACUCGCGGCCUAUCAGCUUGUUGGUGAGGUAAUGGCUCACCAAGGCGACGACGGGUAGCCGGCCUGAGAGGGUGACCGGCCAAACUGGGACUGAGAAACGGACCAGACUCCUACGGGAGGCAGCAGUGGGGAAUAUUGCAAAAUGGGCGAAAGCCUGAUGCAGCGACGCCGCGUGAGGGAUGACGGCCUUCGGGUUGUAAACCUCUUUCAGUAGGGAAGAAGCGAAAGUGACGGUACCUGCAGAAGAAGCACCGGCUAACUACGUG
rnacentral:rRNA from 1 species